rnacentral:rRNA from 1 species
CCUACGGGAGGCAGCAGUGGGGAAUAUUGCACAAUGGGGGGAACCCUGAUGCAGCGACGCCGCGUGAGUGAAGAAGUAUUUCGGUAUGUAAAGCUCUAUCAGCAGGGAAGAAAAUGACGGUACCUGACUAAGAAGCCCCGGCUAACAACGUGCCAGCAGCCGCGGUAAUACGUAGGGGGCAAGCGUUAUCCGGAUUUACUGGGUGUAAAGGGAGCGCAGACGGCAGUGCAAGUCUGGAGUGAAAGGCGGGGGCCCAACCCCCGGACUGCUCUGGAAACUGUAAAGCUGGAGUGCAGGAGAGGUAAGCGGAAUUCCUAGUGUAGCGGUGAAAGGCGUAGAUAUUAGGAGGAACACCAGUGGCGAAGGCGGCUUACUGGACUGCAACUGACGUUGAGGCUCGAAAGCGAGGAGAGCAAACAGGAUUAGAUACCCGAGUAGUC